AUUGAACGCUGGCGGCAUGCCUUACACAUGCAAGUCGAACGGUAACAGGUUAAGCUGACGAGAGGCGAACGGGUGAGUAAUGUAUCGGAACGUGCCCAGUCGUGGGGGAUAACUGCUCGAAAGAGCAGCUAAUACCGCAUACGACCUGAGGGUGAAAGCGGGGGAUCGCAAGACCUCGCGCGAUUGGAGCGGCCGAUAUCAGAUUAGGUAGUUGGUGGGGUAAAAGCCCACCAAGCCAACGAUCUGUAGCUGGUCUGAGAGGACGACCAGCCACACUGGGACUGAGACACGGCCCAGACUCCUACGGGAGGCAGCAGUGGGGAAUUUUGGACAAUGGACGCAAGUCUGAUCCAGCCAUGCCGCGGGCGGGAAGAAGGCCUUCGGGUUGUAAACCGCUUUUGUCAGGGAAGAAAAGGUUCUGGUUAAUACCUGGGACUCAUGACGGUACCUGAAGAAUAAGCACCGGCUAACUACGUGCCAGCCGCCGCCGUAAAAC
rnacentral:rRNA from 1 species